GACGAACGCUGGCGGCGUGCUUAACACAUGCAAGUCGAACGGACAGGCCCUGCUUUUGUGGGGUGCUCGAGUGGCGAACGGGUGAGUAACACGUGAGUAACCUGCCCUUGACUUUGGGAUAACUCCAGGAAACUGGGGCUAUUACCGGAUAGGAGCUCCUGCUGCAUGGUGGGGGUUGGAAAGUUUCGGCGGUUGGGGAUGGACUCGCGGCUUAUCAGCUUGUUGGUGGGGUAGUGACUUACCAAGGCUUUGACGGGUAGCCGGCCUGAGAGGGUGACCGGCCACAUUGGGACUGAGAUACGGCCCAGACGCCUACGGUAGGCAGCAGUGGGGAAUAUUGCACAAUGGGCGGAAGCCUGAUGCAGCAACGCCGCGUGCGGGAUGACGGCCUUCGGGUUGUAAACCGCUUUCGCCUGUGACGAAGCGUGAGUGACGGUAAUGGGUAAAGAAGCACCGGCUAACUACGUG
rnacentral:rRNA from 1 species